GACGAACGCUGGCGGCGUGCUUAACACAUGCAAGUCGAACGGAAAGGCCCUGCUUUUGUGGGGUGCUCGAGUGGCGAACGGGUGAGUAACACGUGAGUAACCUGCCCUUGACUUUGGGAUAACUUCAGGAAACUGGGGCUAAUACCGGAUAGGAGCUCCUGCUGCAUGGUGGGGGUUGGAAAGUUUCGGCGGUUGGGGAUGGACUCGCGGCUUAUCAGCUGGUUGGUGGGGUAGUGGCUUACCAAGGCUUUGACGGGUAGCCGGCCUGAGAGGGUGACCGGCGACAUUGGGACUGAGAUACGGCCCAGAAUCCUACGGGAGGCAGCAGGGGGGAAUAUUGCACAAUGGGCGGAAGCCUGAUGCAGCAACGCCGCGUGCGGGAUGACGGCCUUCGGGUUGUAAACCGCUUUCGAAUGUGACGAAGCGUGAGUGACGGUAAUGGGUCAAGAAGCACCGGCUAACUACGUG
rnacentral:rRNA from 1 species